CCUAAUACCAACACUUAAAUCGUUCAAUCUCUGAGUUAUCUGGAAGCAUUGCAGCAGCGAAACGUCGAGAGCCACCGCUAAUGACUCCGACAAAGGUGUAAUUUCUGCCCGGCGGAAAAAAAAUCCAUAUUUCUUCGAUGACGAAGACAUCACUUGGCCGAAAGGAAGGACAGAAAACAUUUCCACCCUCCUAGAGUGUACUCACGGAGAAAUGGUACGAGCAUUCCAUCUUGAGCUAAAACCGUGCUGCACGUCAGAGCGUUGCGCGUCUGUAUGUGUGGGUGAGGGCUAUAGGGUGGCAGGGUGUUUGGAAGACGAAGAGGACCACGGAGUUUCGGAACACCGCAUCACUCUGCUCUGUUGCCAACCCAGGAAAGGGUUGCACUGUUACUUCUACAUGGAUUGUACCUGGUGAACAUGUCAACUGGAAAAGGCAAUUGGGCUCGCCACCCUAAACAUGUCUGUCUUACCGAGCUAUUGGAGGAAGUAUGAAGGAUAUUCGAGCGCUGUAGGUGGUGUGCUGAAGGAGGAAUGUCAACUGUUUGGGAAUGUAUUCUUAGAAUGGCUGCUUCUACGUCAUAUUGUAACUUAUAGAUUCCACUCUUACUUCGACAUGAUUCGCAUCUCGACUAAACAUCAUAAACAUCUUCAAACCAAACGGCAGACCUCGCUGGCGAAGAACAAACAAGAAACAACCCACGACCGCCUCUUUUAAUCACCCUUGAGAACCAAGUGAUCCCAUUGACGAGCGACCGUAGCCGAAGGAAGAUAUCCACAACGAUACGCCGGGUACCCAAUAUCAGUAAUUCAUCCGUGGCAGUUUCACGAAGUUUCUCGGGUCACCCUCCGUCGUCCAUAAAGCGUUCCUCUUGUCUCCAUCGCGUAGAAGGAACGACCGGACGGAAUAGUGCGCGAGGCCGUGUCGCGCGGUGGAGUGGGAUGCUUGAAUUAGGAGAAGGACGGAGGCAUAGACACGCCGGAUGUGCCGGUACGAGAGAACGAACAGGAGACUGGAAACGGGACAGGAUGAGGGAGACGGAGGGUGAACAGGCGCAUCCCCUCAUGGCGAUACAUACGCACCCCAAUAUCGCCCCCGGGCCGUGCAAUCACGGCAUACAGAGAAUGGGAUGAGAUCCAGCCUGAAAAGGAGGGGGGUCGGUGGCGGUGGUCGAAAGGGGAUGGAGGUCGAGGGGGGUGAAGCUCGCCCACCCACCAACCCCCGACCCCGGUGCCGCCAAUUGUGCGUCGUUGACAGGCCUGCAUCGGGGAAAAACUUAUUGUUGCGCGCGGAAAACCAAAGAGAACGCUUUCCCCAAGGGAGACCCUAGCACCAAAGUUGCGGAUUAAAUGCCUCGCGAUAGGGGUGAGGAUGUCUCCCCGACUUCUUUCCCCGUUCCUUUUCGGAUCGCGUGAUUCCUCUCCCUGCCACUUGAUGCACUAUUUAUGUCCGAAUUAUUCCGCUGAAAAGGACGAUCGACUUUACGGCCUCGAGCCGAGAAGACAGGGUUCGCGGUCGGUUUGAAGAGAAGGGAAGAAAGCUGAGCUCCUGUUCUUUUUACGCGCUGAUGAUUGGAGAGUGGUACUGUCGCUCGAAAGUCUUUGAAUACCUGCUGUGUUUAAUACUAGAUUUACGGAACACGGUCAUUUUGAUCCAUUCCUAAUUUCUCAAGAAAAGCUACAGAAAACAUUUCUUUCCAACCACUUUUGCUGUAAUAAACGUAAACGUGAUCAAUGCUUUUUAAAAAGUAAACAAGAAAAAAUAAAGAGCGCAGUGAAGUUACUAAGAUCCUCCGUAAACCUAGUGUUAAUAUUUAAUAAUAGUGUCUAAGAAUGUCUUCUUUCCUGUCAAUCAGUCAUCCCA